CCAUUUUUGGGCCAUUUUUUGCCCAGCCCAACAGACCCAACUUCAACAAUUCCCAACCACUAACAUCCUUAACUUUAGCCCAACAACCAACCAAACUCUCCAUCGGCCCACCACUUCACCUUUGUUUUUCCUGCAAACCAAACCAAACCAAAUCAUCAAUUCUCUUUUCCCUUUCUUUUCCCCAUCAAUAUCAAUAACAUACAACAACCAACAAUUCCAGCCAACAACUACAUUAAUAUCAAUAAUUUCAACAAAAACAACAACCAACCACGACUUUCAAACAUCGCCAGACAACAAUAGCUGCAACUACAGUUCAGUACCAACGGUUACCUAAUUUCAAAUUUCAAAAAUUUAUUAGAAAUUCCUCAGUCCCAAAAAUCUUCUAUAAAUACCCAUUGAAAACAGAAGGAAAGGAAGAUUUUGAGGGGGAAAUUGAGGAUUCGGGAAGCACAUGCUUCUAAUCCUACUUAACCCAAAGAAUACUCUCAACAAGAAAAAAAAAGUCAAUUCCGACGAAAGGUCAAAAUUCUGACGAACCAAAAUUGAGACAUCAGUGGGGAAAGUCCAUCAUCGUAGGCUCGUUCUUUCCGGUAUAGCUGUCCAAAAUAGGUAAUGUUUUUUUUUCCUUCUUCUUCUUUCCUGUCUUUUUCCUUGAUUCUGUAGGUAACUUGAGGAAUAGAAAUUGAAAAUGCCUAUAUUGAAGUGGGUUUGUUGGUUGUUCUUCAUGAUGUGUAUAAAACCGAUUGAAAGAUAUUCUCAUUUAUAGUAAGAGUUGUCCGUUAGAAUUUAUUGAUCUCGUGUUGCUAAAUGUAUAACAGCUAUAUGGCUUCAAAAUUAUUUCAACCUUUGAAUCUUGUGUCCACCUUUUGUGCUAAAAGUUAGAAAUGAUUAAAAGAAGAAAAGGAAAAGCUGGGUAGGGUAUUGGAUCAUUACUAAAAGAAUAAGUUAAAGGUAGGCUGUGGAUAAUAGUAAUAUAAUGUUAGGCAAAUAAUUAGCUAGUUAGCAGUGGAUAGUAAUAUUUUAUUGUUUGUUUUCUCAUUAUGCACUACAGGUUAUAACUUUUACUAUUCAUUCAUCAUUUUGAGCUGUUCUACCUAGAAACUAUCCGUCGUAAUUUUUUUUAGUAAUACAUUGAUUUAAGUUAUGGAGAAGUGAAUAUAAAUAUAUGUCUUGUAGUGUAUGAGUUAAUUAAUUAAAUUUUGUAUGAAUCAUGUGAUAAUGUUGGUUGUGACGUGUGGUCCAUCUUUUAACCUUUAUUUCUGAUUUGACUUGUAACUCCGUUACUACGUGCAUUGGGUUUCAUUUUUCUUCUUCUUUCGGUUAAUUCUCAUUCUUACUAUGUAUUUGUAUGGAUACUAAUUUUACAUUUUUUUUUAUAUGCAUGAACUCCUCCACCGAGUCCCUCGGACUCCCAUCGCUCGUAUUCGAUUGGGCUAAACCCAACUUUCAUCGAGUCAAGAUCAUACCAACUCCACAAAAUGGAUUAAUAUACCAUGGAAAGCAGCUGGUAUACACGAGAUAUACUAGAAAAAUGCAGAGGAAUACAGAUGAUGAUUCACGUUUGCCACCAAAAUCCUUGCUUGCUGGAGACUUGUCUACAUAGUGUUCUUCAAUCACCACUCAAAAUGGUUUGUGCUUGCAAUAUAAUAUAGGGCAAUCAAUUGAAAGUAUUGACAGAAAUAGUAAACUAAUGGGUAUUGAACAAAUGUUGGAGAUUGAAAUAGCUGAAGGGCAACAAUCCGAGAUUAAGAGGUUACAACAUAUGAAAGGCUCACAGUUUCCAGUUGAUUUCAUAAUGUCCGACCAUAUGAAAGCGACAGUAAAGUUCAUGUGUGACUACAUACUAGAGCUUGCGCGUGACUCUAGUAAUGUAAUCACACCAAACUUUAUGGUAGAUGAAAUGAAAAAAAAAUACGGAAUAAUCAUAUCCUACAACAAAGGAUGGCGAGCUAUACAACAUGUGUAUAUGGUGAUAAGAAGAACACCUGAAGAGCACUACACAGGUUGCCAUCGUAUCUUCACAUGAUGAAAGAAAACAACCCGAGUACGUACACAAACAUCAAGAGGGACGAUGAGAACAGGAACACAUGCUAUAUUGUUGAAAUAAAAAACUUUUUCCCAAGAGGCAAAAGGUUAUUCCUUAAUUGCACUACUUAGAUUACUGACAUAUAUGCAACUCUUGCCUCAUAGGAAAGACUUAGAUUAAAAAAUUCU